GACGAACGCUGGCGGCGUGCUUAACACAUGCAAGUCGAACGGUAAGGCUCCAGCUUGCUGGGGUACACGAGUGGCGAACGGGUGAGUAACACGUGGGUGACCUGCCCUGCACUUCGGGAUAAGCCUGGGAAACUGGGUCUAAUGCCGGAUAGGACCGCACCGUGAGGGUGUGGUGGAAAGUUUUUUCGGUGUGGGAUGGGCCCGCGGCCUAUCAGCUUGUUGGUGGGGUAAUGGCCUACCAAGGCGGCGACGGGUAGCCGGCCUGAGAGGGUGGACGGCCACAUUGGGACUGAGACACGGCCCAGACUCCUACGGGAGGCAGCAGUGGGGAAUAUUGCACAAUGGGCGGAAGCCUGAUGCAGCGACGCCGCGUGGGGGAUGACGGCCUUCGGGUUGUAAACUCCUUUCACCAUCGACGAAGGGUUUCUGACGGUAGAUGGAGAAGAAGCACCGGCUAACUACGUGCCAGCAGCCGCGGUAAUACGUAGGGUGCGAGCGUUGUCCGGAAUUACUGGGCGUAAAGAGCUCGUAGGUGGUUUGUCGCGUCGUCUGUGAAAUUCCGGGGCUUAACUCCGGGCGUGCAGGCGAUACGGGCAUAACUUGAGUACUGUAGGGGAGACUGGAAUUCCUGGUGUAGCGGUGAAAUGCGCAGAUAUCAGGAGGAACACCGGUGGCGAAGGCGGGUCUCUGGGCAGUAACUGACGCUGAGGAGCGAAAGCAUAGGGAGCGAACAGGAUUAGAUACCCUGGUAGUCCAUGCCGUAAACGGUGGGCGCUAGGUGUGGGUUUCCUUCCACGGGAUCCGUGCCGUAGCUAACGCAUUAAGCGCCCCGCCUGGGGAGUACGGCCGCAAGGCUAAAACUCAAAGGAAUUGACGGGGGCCCGCACAAGCGGCGGAGCAUGUGGAUUAAUUCGAUGCAACGCGAAGAACCUUACCUGGGCUUGACAUAUACAGGAUCGCGCCAGAGAUGGUGUUUCCCUUGUGGCUUGUAUACAGGUGGUGCAUGGUUGUCGUCAGCUCGUGUCGUGAGAUGUUGGGUUAAGUCCCGCAACGAGCGCAACCCUUGUCUUAUGUUGCCAGCACGUUGUGGUGGGGACUCGUAAGAAACUGCCGGGGUUAACUCGGAGGAGGGUGGGGAUGACGUCAAAUCAUCAUGCCCCUUAUGUCCAGGGCUUCACACAUGCUACAAUGGUCGGUACAGUGGGUUGCCAGUCCGUGAGGGCGAGCUAAUCCCGCAAAGCCGGUCUCAGUUCGGAUCGGGGUCUGCAACUCGACCCCGUGAAGUCGGAGUCGCUAGUAAUCGCAGAUCAGCAACGCUGCGGUGAAUAAGUUCCCGGGCCU
rnacentral:rRNA from 1 species